CACGUAGUUAGCCGGUCCUUAUUCCCCACCUACCGUCAACCCGGAGAAAACCCCGGGCCUGCGUGAGUGGUAAAAGAGGUUUACAACCCGAAGGCCGUCAUCCCCCACGCGGCGUCGCUGCGUCAGGCUUUCGCCCAUUGCGCAAGAUUCCCCACUGCUGCCUCCCGCAGGAGUCUGGGCCGUGUCUCAGCCCCAGUGUGACCGGUCGCCCUCUCAGGCCGGCUACCCGUAAUCGCCUUGGUAGGCCUUUACCCCACCAACAAGCUGAUAGGCCGCGAGCCCAUCCCUGACCGAAAAAACUUUCCACCCUCGGGCAUGCACCCGGGGGUCGUAUCCGGUAUUAGACGGCGUUUCCACCGCUUAUCCCGGAGUCAGGGGCAGGUUGCUCACGUGUUACUCACCCGUUCGCCGCUCGUGUACCCCGAAGGGCCUUACCGCUCGACUUGCAUGUGUUAAGCACGCCGCCAGCGUCGUCCUGAGCCAGGAUCAAAACUCU
rnacentral:rRNA from 1 species